GGUAGGAGUUUGCGCAUGAGCAGAAGUGUCGGGAAAACUGGAGAAGGGUUCGGAGGCGGUAUUGACAGCUGUGGAGGCAGCCCGCGUUCCCGGCAUGCCCCGGGGCGGCGGGGUUGGCUCUAACGAAUUUGAAUGAGGAGCCUCAGCGCUUUCGGCGCCAUUUUCGAGUGAUGCCUGAUCUCAUCAAUCUAGCGGGAGAGACGGGAUAACCUGUCCGAGAUUAUAGCGCUACUAGGACUCCGCCGAAAAAUCACCAAAAAAAUCGCCAAAAAUUACUUUGAGCAAAGGGCAGUCCGUGGGGCUUCGCCAGGAUUGGCGCAGACGUCUUUGAAACAUGUCGCAAGGAUAAAAGCAAUCUGUGAAACUAUUGAUGUUUUCCUCCCGAAAAGUCUUAGCCCGGACAACUUAACGGUUUUGACCUUUAGGAGAGAGCCAAUUCUGGAGAACAACCUAACUUCUUUGAUUGAACACUCACAUAAUGCAUUGGAACAUGAUAGGAGAUUAAGGUUUAAUGAUAAAAUGAAGACCAUAAUAAAACAGUCCCCGUCCUUAGCUCAGGAAUUCUUACCUUGUGGAUAUUACUAUCCCUUAUUCAUCGAAAAAGUUUUAAUUCUAAGUGUUGUUUCUCAUUGA
rnacentral:lncRNA from 1 species